UGUUUGCUACUUGUGAAUAUUUCUACUGACUACUGUUGGACCACUCCAGUAAUAAGCCCUACACCUUUUACUAGGUGCUUGUAUGUCUGUGUCAUUAGCAUACUGUGGGCAAAUCUUGCUUGCAUUUGUGCAUGCCAACAUGUCCGGGGGUGGGGGGAGGGCCUGGACCAUAGUGGAUCGUGUGUGUGUAGGGAGGUAAGGCCUGGACCGUAUUGGAUCUCAUGCAAUACUGCGGCAGGAUUAGGAAGGAGGAUAUGGAGAGCCUGUGCAGAAGUUAGAGACCCCCAGUGUACUGCAGAGCACAAUUAUGCUGGGACUUCCAAAAAGCAGUUGAACAGUGGGACGCCUGGCACUAUUCAAAUCAGAGUGAGCAUGGUGGAAAGGACCUUCAGAAAACUUCAGAGCAGACAUGAGACUGCAGAACUGCAAGGUGAACACAUUGGCAUCCUCUCUCCAUAUCUGGUCCCUGAGGCUUGUUUCCCACCAUUCACAGGUAUGUCUGUCUCAGAUUGCACCCAAAAAGAUGCAGUAGUUAUUUGGCAAGAUGAAAUCAAGGCACACAAAGAAAAGGCUCCUGAGAAUCCAUUGAGAGGCUUUCAGGCCCUCAGAAGUUGUACCAACCAGAAUCCACUGUCAACUACCUUGGGCAUGUGCCUGCUCUGA
rnacentral:lncRNA from 1 species